GUGCCAGCCGCCGCGGUAAUACAGAGGUCCCGAGCGUUGUUCGGAUUCACUGGGCGUAAAGGGUGCGUAGGCGGUGGGGUAAGUCUGAUGUGAAAGCUCGCAGCUCAACUGCGAAACGGCAUUGGAAACUACCUCGCUGGAGGCUUGGAGGGGGGACUGGAAUUCUCGGUGUAGCAGUGAAAUGCGUAGAUAUCGAGAGGAACACCAGUGGCGAAGGCGAGUCCCUGGACAAGACCUGACGCUGAGGCACGAAAGCCAGGGGAGCAAACAGGAUUAGAUACCCCAGUAGUCC
rnacentral:rRNA from 1 species